rnacentral:sRNA from 1 species
CAGUUCGUCGAUCAUCGCCACCGGCAAGCGAAGAUCUUCGGGAUAUAGCAC